rnacentral:rRNA from 1 species
UACGUAGGGGGCAAGCGUUGUCCGGAAUCAUUGGGCGUAAAGAGCGUGUAGGCGGCCCGGUAAGUCCGCUGUGAAAGUCCAGGGCUCAACCCUGGAAUGCCGGUGGAAACUGUCGGGCUAGAGUCCGGAAGAGGCGAGUGGAAUUCCUGGUGUAGCGGGUGAAAUGCGCAGAUAUCAGGAGGAACACCAAUGGCGAAGGCAGCUCGCUGGGACGGUACUGACGCUGAGGCGCGAAAGCGUGGGGAGCAAACAGG